GAACAGCCCCAAGAUUCCCGUUCCGCAACUAAACCACACCUGCCAAGGCGCUCUACGGCGGCGGCGGCGUGCUCCACCGCAGUCCGCCCCAAUCCGGCGGGGUCCGUCCGCCUGCUCCGGCCACCUCCUCCUCAACCACCCGGACCUCCUCCCGCCGGCAUCCCCCGUGGGAACGGCCUCCUCCGCCGCCUGCCUACAACGCCGAUGCCUUUCUCCAGGCGCACGCAGAUGGGUGGGCCGGAGCAGCCCCAGCCACGGCCGACGGUCUCGGCGGACUCCCUCCCCUCCCUGCCCCGCGGCCAGGAAGCCGCCGACGUCAUCCGGUCUAUCAUUCCCCUUCUUCCAAUUCCGUCCAAUUGGAUCCCUGCGGUCAUACUCAGGUUGCUCAACUUUAAUUUGUUACAUCGUUCUACUUCUUUUGUUCAUCAGGAUAUCCAUCAGGGCACGGCAUCAUCCUUAUCACAAGAUAUAUCCCCGGCCGGCCGGCGGCAGUAUGGUGACGCAAAUAAGCUCCCUGCCUCGUCAAACAAGCGAGGGUGUGUGUGUUAGACUUAUGGCACAACUGAAAUAAUCCUUGGCCGGAAGAUUUUGCUGCUGUCCAGGCCAUCUUGAAGACAUUUGGUGAUGCAUCCAGGCUGAGAACUAACAUGGCGAAGAGUGUGGCUUAUCCUAAUUCCUGUGUUGGUAUCGAUUUAUCUCGUAUGCUGUGUGAUUUUGGUGGAGUGCAAGCUUAUUGGCCAUGGGUAUCUGGGUUUGCCUGUAGGGUUCAAAAAGCCAAGCUACAGCCGGUUGUGCUUGACUAGGCUACCGGCAAACUCUCGCCAUGGAAAGAGCGACGUCUCAACAGGACUGGAAGACUGGUGCUUAUUAACUGGGCGGUGACUGCAACUUGCUGCUACCUAUUUCCUGACCACCUUGUGAAGAAGCGAGUGUGCGCGCCAAAGAUGUUCAGUCGAGCCCUUGGGCUGUGGUGGGAAUGGUUCAGGUGGGAUGAUGAGAAGAGACCAUGGAAGGGCACAGAGACUCCGUGUGACGAGAUUAAUAGGCAGCUCUUUUCCUGCCGCACCCCCAUCUCCCUUGGGGAUGGCAGCUUGGCCAUUCUCAGGAAGGGCCGCUAGUUGGAAGGGGAUGCUCCAUGUUUUUUGGUGCCCCGGAAAUCUUCAGGCUGGCACGGUACAGAAGUUGCCGGUUAAGGAUGCGAGGGUUGCAGCGGAUCAGUACUAAGGUGCAGCUGAACCAAUUCAUGCUAAUUUGAGUGGCGUGCUGCACAACGGCGUUUGCCGCCUGUGUGAUCAGGAGCAAGACAGCGCUGCCCAUCUGACCCGGCGUUGCUGUUACGCGCGGCAUUGAUUUCAGAAUUCCAACGCUAGAGUGUGCUCAAUUGUUUCUCGGCAUUGACAAUCCAGGUAUGGCGGAGGAGGAUUUAUUAGUCGGGCGGCGGCUCGCCGAGGCGAGAAGAAGAAAAACUGUAAUCCAAUUCGGAGUAGUAAUUUCGAACAAAAAGUACCUGUGUAUGUAGCUGGGAUAUGGAGGGAGGCACGACGAUCCAGUUCCUGGCCAACUGAAGCGGAGCGCGGUGUGCAACAGCUCUGCUCAUGAACAUGAACUCAUCCUCAAGCAAUGGCCGUGGUCUGCACCCGUCCGUAACUCUUUUCCCCCUUCCAUCCAAAGGAAAAGGAACGGGGCCAUUUUUCUACUGGCCUUUUCAGAACGGAGACUUGGCCAAACUCCAUUCGCUAGCUUGUUUUGCUCGCCGGGCGGCCAGAUGGUAAAAGCUCCCCAGACUUACGUCCAUGGAAGUUAGGAAGCAGAUAAACCAGGCAGCAGGAUCCAGCUUCCAUUUGACCGAAUCAACAAAUUUAGUAUAUGGUCUUGCCGGCGAAUUGGUGGUAGCAUGCACUGUCUAUGGAAAUUAGGACUUGUAUAAUGGCUGGGGUGUGGUGUGCUCAUCGACGACAUUUGACACGUUCUUAUUUUAUGGGACGGAGUGAGUAUUUCUGAAUAUUUAGAAAAGGAUAAUGUAAGAAAAAAUCACAUUGCAAGUGACUUCUUUCCAAGUGCGUGCGUUGACUUGA